CAUCUAUCCAUUUCAAAACCCAAUAUUGUUUUUCCAUUUUAUCCCCAAUAAAAUUUUCCAUCUCACCCGUAAUCUUUAUCUUUCCGUUCCAUCUCAAUAUCACGCUUCCUCCUCAAUCCUUAUAUAGGGCCUGCCUCUUUGCCUGGUGGGAAGGACCACAUUGCAGAAAGAUUCUACGACUGCAUAUUUGGGGAGGAAGAGUGUCUCUGUCGUCUUGAAGCGCAAAAUAUGCAUUUCACAUUGGCCAGCACAGAAGAGAUCUUUUGAAAUUUCUUAU